AUUGAACGCUGGCGGCAGGCUUAACACAUGCAAGUCGAGCGGGGGAAGGUAGCUUGCUACCGGACCUAGCGGCGGACGGGUGAGUAAUGCUUAGGAAUCUGCCUAUUAGUGGGGGACAACAUCUCGAAAGGGAUGCUAAUACCGCAUACGUCCUACGGGAGAAAGCAGGGGAUCUUCGGACCUUGCGCUAAUAGAUGAGCCUAAGUCGGAUUAGCUAGUUGGUGGGGUAAAGGCCUACCAAGGCGACGAUCUGUAGCGGGUCUGAGAGGAUGAUCCGCCACACUGGGACUGAGACACGGCCCAGACUCCUACGGGAGGCAGCAGUGGGGAAUAUUGGACAAUGGGGGGAACCCUGAUCCAGCCAUGCCGCGUGUGUGAAGAAGGCCUUAUGGUUGUAAAGCACUUUAAGCGAGGAGGAGGCUACUAUAGUUAAUACCUAGAGAUAGUGGACGUUACUCGCAGAAUAAGCACCGGCUAACUCUGUGCCAGCAGCCGCAGUAA
rnacentral:rRNA from 1 species